UACGUAGGGGGCGAGCGUUGUCCGAAGUUACUGGGCGUAAAGCGCGCGUAGGCGGUCAUUUAAGUUCGGGGUGAAAGGUUCAGCGCUCAACGCGAACAGUGCCUUGAAUACUGGGUGACUUGAGUUCGGGAGAGGGCAGUGGAAUUCCUGGUGUAGCGGUGAAAUGCGUAGAUAUCAGGAGGAACACCGAUGGCGAAGGCAGGCUGCCUGGCCUAGAACUGACGCUGAGGUGCGAAAGCGUGGGGGAGCGAACAGG
rnacentral:rRNA from 1 species